rnacentral:rRNA from 1 species
AACGCGAAGAACCUUACCAAGUCUUGACAUCCCACUGACCGGAUAGUAAUGUAUCCUUCCCUUCGGGGCAGUGGAGACAGGUGGUGCAUGGUUGUCGUCAGCUCGUGUCGUGAGAUGUUGGGUUAAGUCCCGCAACGAGCGCAACCCUUAUCUUUAGUAGCCAGCACGUAAGGUGGGCACUCUAGAGAGACUGCCAGGGAUAACCUGGAGGAAGGCAGGGAUGACGUCAAAUCAUCAUGCCCCUUAUGACUUGGGCUACACACGUGCUACAAUGGCGUAAACAAAGGGAAGCAACCCUGUGAAGGCAAGCAAAUCCCAAAAAUAACGUCUCAGUUCGGAUUGUAGUCUGCAACUCGACUACAUGAAGCUGGAAUCGCUAGUAAUCGCAGAUCAGAAUGCUGCGGUGAAUACGUUCCCGGGUCUUGUACACACCG